UACGAAGGGGGCUAGCGUUGUUCGGAAUUACUGGGCGUAAAGCGCGCGCAGGCGGUCUUCCAAGUCAGUGGUGAAAGCCCGGAGCUCAACUCCGGAACUGCCAUUGAAACUGUUAGACUUGAGGAUGAGAGAGGUGAGUGGAAUUCCCAGUGUAGAGGUGAAAUUCGUAGAUAUUGGGAAGAACACCGGUGGCGAAGGCGGCUCACUGGCUCAUAUCUGACGCUCAGGCGCGACAGCGUGGGGAGCAAACGGG
rnacentral:rRNA from 1 species